rnacentral:misc_RNA from 1 species
GAUGAAGAACGUAGCAAAAUGCGAUAAGUAGUGUGAAUUGCAGAAUUCAGUGAAUCAUCGAAUCUUUGAACGCACAUUGCGCCCGCUAGUAUUCUGGCGGGCAUGCCUGUCCGAGCGUCAUUUCAACCCUCAAGCCCCCGGGCUUGGUGUUGGGGAUCGGCGAGCCUCCGCGCCCGCCGUCCCCUAAAUCUAGUGGCGGUCUCGCUGUAGCUUCCUCUGCGUAGUAGCACACCUCGCACUGGGAAACAGCGCGGCCACGCCGUUAAACCCCCAACUUCUGAACGUUUGACCUCGGAUCAGGUAGGAAUACCCGCUGAACUUAAGCAUAUCAAUAAGCGGAGGA